UACAGAGGUGGCAAGCGUUGUUCGGAAUUACUGGGCGUAAAGGGCGCGUAGGCGGCCUUCUAAGUCAGACGUGAAAUCCCUCGGCUUAACCGGGGAACUGCGUCUGAUACUGGAUGGCUUGAGUGUGGGAGAGGGAUGCGGAAUUCCAGGUGUAGCGGUGAAAUGCGUAGAUAUCUGGAGGAACACCGGUGGCGAAGGCGGCAUCCUGGACCAUUACUGACACUGAAAAGCGAAAGCCAGGGGAGCAAACGUG
rnacentral:rRNA from 1 species